GGCUGGUCCGAGUGCAGUGGUGUUUACAACUAAUUGAUCACAACCAGUUACAGAUUUCUUUGUUCCUUCUCCACUCCCACUGCUUCACUUGACUAGUUUAAA
ensembl:misc_RNA Y_RNA Y RNA